AUUGAACGCUAGCGGCAUGCCUAACACAUGCAAGUCGAACGAGUGGCGGACGGGGGAGUAAUGUCUGGGAAACUGCACGAUGGAGGGGGAUAACUACUGGAAACGGUAGCUAAUACCGCAUACCAUUGGAUGUGCCCAGAUGGGAUUAGCUAGUAGGUGGGGUAACGGCUCACCUAGGCUACGAUCCCUAGCUGGUCUGAGAGGAUGACCCGCCACACUGGAACUGAGACACGGUCCAGACUCCUACGGGAGGCAGCAGUGGGGAAUAUUGCACAAUGGGCGCAAGCCUGAUGCAGCCAUGCCGCGUGUAUGAAGAAGGCCUUCGGGUUGUAAAGUACUUUCAGCGAGGAGGCGUUACUCGCAGAAGAAGCACCGGCUAACGCCGUGCCAGCCGCCGCGGUAAUUC
rnacentral:rRNA from 1 species